GCCUUGGCUGGGUGGUCCGGCCUCGCGGUCGGCUGGGGUUCACCUUCUGGUGAGCCGCCAUGCUCUUCACUGGGUAUGUUGGGGAACUAGGACUUUUACUUUGAAAAAUCAGAGUGUUUAAAGAGACCUGCGCUUGAAUACAUUAGCAUGGAAUAAUGUAAUAGGACUCUGGUUCUAUUUUGUUAGUUUCUAGCACCGGAAUA
rnacentral:rRNA from 1 species